rnacentral:rRNA from 1 species
GACGAACUGCCCAAACGUUGUUCGGAAUCACUGGGCUUAAAGGGCGCGUAGGCGGCGAAUCAAGUCAGGGGUGAAAUCCGGCAGCUCAACUGUCGAAGUGCCUUUGAUACUGAUUUGCUCGAGGGAGGUAGGGGUGCGCGGAACUUCUGGUGGAGCGGUGAAAUUCGUAGAUAUCGAGAGGAACACCGGUGGCGAAGGCGGCUUCCUGGACAGUUACUGACGCUGAGACGCGAAAGCGUGGGGAGCAAACAGG